GACGAACGCUGGCGGCGUGCUUAACACAUGCAAGUCGAACGGAAAGGCCCUGCUUGCAGGGUACUCGAGUGGCGAACGGGUGAGUAACACGUGGGUGAUCUGCCCUGCACUUCGGGAUAAGCCUGGGAAACUGGGUCUAAUACCGGAUAGGAGCCAUUUUUAGUGUGAUGGUUGGAAAGUUUUUUUCGGUGUAGGAUGAGCUCGCGGCCUAUCAGCUUGUUGGUGGGGUAAUGGCCUACCAAGGCGGCGACGGGUAGCCGGCCUGAGAGGGUGGACGGCCACAUUGGGACUGAGAUACGGCCCAGACUCCUACGGGAGGCAGCAGUGGGGAAUAUUGCACAAUGGGCGCAAGCCUGAUGCAGCGACGCCGCGUGGGGGAUGACGGCCUUCGGGCUGUAAACUCCUUUCGCUAGGGACGAAGCUUUUUGUGACGGUACCUAGAUAAGAAGCACCGGCUAACUACGUG
rnacentral:rRNA from 1 species